rnacentral:rRNA from 1 species
GAUGAACGCUAGCGGCAGGCCUAAUACGUGCAAGUCGAACGCUCAGUAGCAAUACUGGGAGUGGCGCACGGGUGCGUAACGCGUACACAAUCUACCUCUAAGCGGGGGACACCUCCUGGAAACGGGGAUUAAUACCGCAUAAUAUGCCGAAGUCGCAUGACUUUGGUAUUAAAGCAGCAAUGCACUUAGAGAUGAGUGUGCGUCCCAUUAGGUAGUUGGUGAGGUAACGGCUCACCAAGCCUAUGAUGGGUAGCCGGUCUGAGAGGAUGGUCGGCCACACGGGCACUGAGACACGGGCCCGACUCCUACGGGAGGCAGCAGUAAGGAAUAUUGGUCAAUGGUGGAAACACUGAACCAGCC